rnacentral:lncRNA from 1 species
AACAUGUAACUAAAUACAUACAUAAAUAACUCGAUCAUCAACGACCUCGCCAGCCAGGAACAACCAAACAAAACCCAUUAAUGGGAUAAACUGGAAACCUGGGUCCGACCUCAUGCGACAAGUCGUCUCACGAGACAUACUCAGACGAAUAUAUUGUUUUGAAAAAUAUAUGUAAAUGCAUGUAUCAAAUUAUAUACAUAAUUUUAUUGGAACUUGAAUGUUGCCCUGUCUGCGGCGGGCUAGAAAGUGAUAAUAUCAGGGAAAAAAUUUCCCGCUAUAAAAUAAGUCACGUGUCUUAUACCUAGUGACUUAAACUUAUAAAAUUACUACGCUAGUACCGUAUAUACAAUAAUUUCUCCCUAUACUACGAAACGUGAGAAAUUAUACGUAU